UGUGGGGUGGCUAGGAGGGUUGUGUGUUUUUAAGUAAGACAAACCAUUAAACUGUGAAUCUGACAGAAAGCAUUGUGCUAGAGACUGGUACUAGUCAUAUCAGCCUCUUGGCUGAUGGAUAUGUCCCUCAUUUGGAGGUCUUUUCUCUAGAUGUCUUUCAUAACAUGAUAGUAGCAACACAGUUUAACUUGAAUUAAUUUAAAAACUAAUUAAAAGAUUAAUUUAAAUUAAUCUUUUCCAGAGCACCUUCUUGAAAAAUCAGUUGACCUGUGGAAGGGAGCCAGCCAGAGACAGCCCUGAAACUACGCUUUAGAUCUGAAUACCCACCUAAUGCAAAGGUCAGAGAGCUGAUGCUGAAGGUGACAGCUUCCAACGUGUUUCAAAGUGAGAACCCCAAUUGCUGCUCCUGGUCUCAAUGGAAGAGAAGCCUGGUGUGAGUGAAGGAGUAGAGAAUCCAGGAAGCUUCCCUUGUGUGGUAAAGAUGGACAACUACUGAUAGAGGCCACUGCAUCAAAGGAAAUUCAAAUCAAACAGACCUUCAGCUGAGUAAACUACUGAGCAUUGAACAACGUAAAGCAAGCACAGUCCUACUAUGCUGAGUGGCCUUUUGAAUGGAUUCUGCAAGGGCAACCUCUUUCCUAUAAAGCCAAAUGGCGUGAAGUAACAUUAUACUUUACCGACAUGAAAAGAGGAGACUUCCAGAUGACUACUAUUCUGAACUUCUCUAGUUCUCAAAUCCCGGAUUUUCAGUUUCUCCUGUGGACUUUUGCAAGCUGAUGUUAUUGCCCCAUUAAAACAACAACAACAACAAAAAGUCAAAAAGGAAUAUGGUAACUUAAAAUCUACAGAAGAUGUGGUUUCAAGGAACUAAGGGCUGUUCCCUGGAUGCAACACCUUUAUAAUCAGAAUAUUUUUCCUUUUCGUUAAGAAUACACUUGAUAGAUCCAAAGAGAGCCACAUCCAUGUUUGUUUGGGUUUUUUUAAAAUAAACUCUGUAUCCUCCUUUUCCUUUCUCCUUUAAUUCCUUCUUUUUUUUUUUUUUUUUUUUUUUAAAUCAGAAUUGUUUUGGUGUAGAUCUUUUGUAGUUAGUUGUAUAUCUUAAAUAUUUACAUGAAGGAGGUAUCCUGACAGGCUGAUCUAUAGCAGGAAAGCAACAAAUAAACAAAUCCAAGUCUACAGUAUUUUAGGUCCUGGUUUCCUGAGCUCCUAAGUGUUUAUUUUUCCUAUUGUAAAAACCUGCAUUGAAAUACAUUCAAAAUAGAGUUCACAUGGCAGCUUUCAGGCAACAUCUAAUGUUUUAACAAAGCUGUAAUGGUAACCUCAGCUUCCCAUACACUGUGUAGUUGGCUGAAAAAGAAAGCAGCUGAUUUAUCAGAGCCUCUAUGCUGUAGA
rnacentral:lncRNA from 13 species